rnacentral:rRNA from 1 species
GAUGAACGCUGGCGGCGUGCCUAAUACAUGCAAGUCGAGCGAACAGACGAGGAUCUUGCUCCUCUUACGUUAGCGGCGGACGGGUGAGUAACACGAGUAUAACUUACCUAGAAGACUGAGAUAACUUCGGGAAACCGGAUCUAAUACCGGAUAAUAUAUUGAACCUCAUGGUUCAUUAGUGAAAGACGGUUUUGCUGUCACUAAUAGAUGUUUCCGGGCCGCAUUAGCUAGUUGGUAAGGUAACGGCUUACCAAGGCUACGAUGCGUAGCCGACCUGAGAGGGUGAUCGGCCACACUGGAACUGAGACACGGUCCAGACUCCUACGGGAGGCAGCAGUAGGGAAUCUUCGGCAAUGGGCGAAAGCUUGACGGAGCAAGGCCGCGUGAGUGAUGAAGGUCUUCGGAUCGUAAAACUCUGUUAUGAGGGAAGAACAGAUGUGUAAGUAAAUAUGGACGUCUUGACGGUACCUAAUAAGAAAGCCACGGCUAACUACGUG